CCUACGGGGGGCUGCAGUAAGGAAUAUUGGUCAAUGGACGCAAGUCUGAACCAGCCAUGCCGCGUGGAGGAUGAAGGUCCUCUGGAUUGUAAACUUCUUUUAUUUGGGAAGAAACUCCCGAUUUCCAUCGGGAUUGACGGUACCAGAUGAAUAAGCACCGGCUAACUCCGUGCCAGCAGCCGCGGUACUACGGAGGGUGCAAACGUUAUCCGGAUUCACUGGGUGUAGAGGGGCAGGAGGGGCGGUGGUAAAAUCUCCGGGCUUAACCCGGAAACUGCCAUUGAUACUAUUUGUCUUGAAUACUCUGGAGGUGAGCGGAAUAUGUCAUGUAGCGGUGAAAUGCUUAGAUAUGACAUAGAACACCGAUUGCGAAGGCAGCUCACUACGGAAAUAUUGACGCUGAGGCACGAAAGCGUGGGGAUCAAACAGGAUUAGAUACCCGAGUAGUC
rnacentral:rRNA from 1 species